GAUAACCGGUGGUGUCGUCAUAGGUGGAGAAGUCGACGAGCGUGCCGAGCAUCUGGAGAUAGGCGAUGAGCGCAUCCAUCUCGCUCAGCCGCUGCGGA
rnacentral:sRNA from 1 species